CUAGCACAGCUCUUCUGGGUGUGAAAGGAAUUGGAGGGUCUUUUAACGCAUACAUACAAAGAAGAAGAAUAGACUAGAACAUCAUAGGCUUAAUGAUCUUGUGUAUGUUCAUUACAACUUGCGAUUGAAGAAUAGGAGGUAUUACAAAACAAGGAAUUAUGAUCCCAUUGACAUUGAAAGCAUUGACAAAAUCGAGUUUUGGAUUAUUGAAGAAGAAAGACUAGAACAAGAGGAGCCUCCAUUGCUUGAUUAUGAUGAGCUCGAAAAAAUGCUUUAUGAAGAAGAUGAGCCUCCACGAUAUAAGAGGCAAUGUCAUGGUCUACGAGAUGAUGAUGUUGAGGAUGAUAUGGAGGUAGAACUUCUUGGAGAUGAUAUCGACUUGGGAUCUUUUGGUGACGUGAACAUUGAUAAUAGAUCAAACAACCCGAGCUCUAGUGCAAAUGCAAAUGAGAAUGAUGAUGAUGAUUGGUUAAAUUACCGUCCCUAGGAGAUUUAGGCAAAAAUCAAAGAUUGUUUGUGAUGUUGUGUUGUGUUGUGUUGAUUUUUAUUUUUAUUUUUAAGAAUGAUGUCAUGUUGUAAACAUCUUUUUACAUUUGUUGCUUGAGAUUUAUGUUUUAUGUCGGUACACUUUGGACUUACUUUUGUCUUUUUGUUAACUUAUGUUUUAUGGAUUGAUUUAGUUGGAUGCUUUCAU